AACGAACGCUGGCGGCAUGCCUUACACAUGCAAGUCGAACGGCAGCACGGGGGCAACCCUGGUGGCGAGUGGCGAACGGGUGAGUAAUACAUCGGAACGUGCCCCGUAGCGGGGGACAACCAGUCGAAAGACUGGCUAAUACCGCAUACGCUCCACGGAGGAAAGCAGGGGAUCGCAAGACCUUGCACUAUGGGAGCGGCCGAUGCCCGAUUAGCUAGUUGGUGAGGUAAAGGCUCACCAAGGCAACGAUCGGUAGCUGGUCUGAGAGGACGACCAGCCACACUGGGACUGAGACACGGCCCAGACUCCUACGGGAGGCAGCAGUGGGGAAUAUUGGACAAUGGGCGAAAGCCUGAUCCAGCGAUGCCGCGUGUGUGAAGAA
rnacentral:rRNA from 1 species